AUGACUUGUGGCUCGCGGUGAAAUUCCAAUCGAGUUGGGUUAUAGCUGGUUCUCCCCGAAAUAGCUUUAGGGCUAGCCUCAGAGUAAGCUACCUGCUGGUAGAGCACUGAAUGAUAGAUGGCCGCGUCUAGCGGUACUGAUAUCAAUCAAACUCCGAAUAGUGGGCAAGUAUAUCUGGGAGUCAGUCUGUGGGAGAUAAGUUCCAUGGACAAGAGGAAAAGAGUCCAGACCGCCAAUUAAGGUCCCAAAAUCUAUACUAAGUGUCAAAGGAUGUAGAGAUGCAUAGACAACUAGGAUGUUGGCUCAGAAGCAGCCAUCAUUUAAAGAGUGCGUAACAGCUCACUAGUCGAGUGCCUCCGCGCCGAAAAUUUACCGGGGCUAAGUAUAGUACCGAAGUUGCGGAUUUGAGAAAAUGGUAGGGGAGCGUUCCAUCAUCGGCGAAGCGAUACCGGAAGGAGUCGUGGAGAGGAUGGAAGUGAGAAUGCCGGUGUAAGUAACGAUAUUGGGUGAGAAUCCCAAUCACCAUUAGACUAAGGUUUCCUGGGGAAGGUUCGUCCACCCAGGGUAAGUCGGGACCUAAGGCGAGGCUGAGAAGCGUAGUCGAUGGAUAACAGGUUGAUAUUCCUGUACCCGUAUAUAAGCGAAGUAAUGACAGAGAAGGCUAAGAGAGCUACCUAAUGGAUGGUAGUACAAGCGAAAUAGCAGGUGCAUAGGCAAAUCCGUGCACAGGAUGCAAAGCGUGAUGUGGAGCGAACGAGCAAUCAAGUAGCGAAGGAUCUGAUGCCAGCUUUCAAGAAAAGUUGCUAGCGAUAAUUAUAUGCGGCCCGUACCGAGAACGGACACACGUGGUCAAGGAGAGUAUCCUAAGGUGAGCGAGUGAACUGUUGUUAAGGAACUCUGCAAAAUUACUUCGUAAGUUCGCAAGAAGAAGUGCUACAGCGAUGUAGCCGCAGUGAAGAGGCCCAAGUAACUGUUUAACAAAAACACAGCUUUAUGCUAAGUCGUAAGACGAUGUAUAUGAGGUGAUGCCUGCCCAGUGCUGGAAGGUUAAAAGGAGAUGUGAUAAGCAUUGAUCUGAAGCCCCAGUGAACGGCGGCCGUAACUAUAACGGUCCUAAGGUAGCGAAAUUCCUUGUCAGGUAAAUUCUGACGCGCAUGAAUGGUAUAAUAAUUUGGGCGCUGUCUCGACAGCAGACUCGGUGAAAUCUUAAUACCUGUGAACAUGCAGGUUACCCGCGACUAGACGGAAAGACCCCAUGGAGCUUUACUAUAGCUUAAUAUUGAACAAUUGAAAUUCCUGUACAGGAUAGGUAGGAGACAAAGAAACUGGGGCGUCAGCUUCAGCGGAGUCAGCGGUGGGAUACUACUCUUGGAUUUUGAUUGUUCUAACCUAGGUUCGAAACAGGGCCGGGGACAGUGUUAGGUGGGUAGUUUGACUGGGGCGGUCGCCUCCUAAAGAGUAAC
rnacentral:rRNA from 1 species